UACAGAGGGGGCAAGCGUUAUCCGGAUUCACUGGGUUUAAAGGGUGCGUAGGCGGGCAGGUAAGUCCGUGGUGAAAUCUCUGAGCUUAACUCAGAAACUGCCAUGGAUACUAUUUGUCUUGAAUAUUGUGGAGGUAAGCGGAAUAUGUCAUGUAGCGGUGAAAUGCUUAGAUAUGACAUAGAACACCAAUUGCGAAGGCAGCUUACUACACAGUUAUUGACGCUGAGGCACGAAAGCGUGGGGAUCAAACAGG
rnacentral:rRNA from 1 species